GAUGAAGAACGCAUCGAAAUGCGAUAAGUAAUGUGAAUUGCAGAAUUCAGUGAAUCAUCGAAUCUUUGAACGCACCUUGCACUCCUUGUUAUUCCGAGGAGUACGCCUGUUCGAGUGUUAUGAAGCUCUCAAAACGCAAUUGGCUUAAAACCUGAUUGUUGUUUUGGAUUUGAACUUUGCCGUGUUAUAACGGCUGGUUUUAAAAGUAUUAGCUGGUACUAGAACGAAUUGGUUCUACUCAACGUGAUAAUUAUCUGAUCGUUGAGGACAUUCCUUUCACGAGGAAUGGCCAUAGUAAAUUCAAUGGACUGCUUCUAAUCUGGCUUUAAUUCUUUAUUGGAUUAACCACUUUUCAAAUCUGACCUCGAAUCAGGUGGGACUACCCGCUGAACUUAAGCAUAUCAAUAAGCGGAGGA
rnacentral:misc_RNA from 1 species